UAGUCAGGGAAUUUGAGCCAAUGAGAAGAAAGAGGCCUAAACGUCAUGAUCGGAGGAAAACUGGCUCCCUCCGCCAGAAACGUUAUCUUCCUUCCUUGGAAUCCUUGGCGACUUUGCGCACUUUGUUUACUUGAAGAAUAUAAGAUAUAGCAGAUUUUUAAAUUCAUUAGAGGAAAAAUAUUUAUGGUUGUACUGUUACAUCCAUCUUUAAUUUUUAAAUAAAUCUUCAUUGAGCUCAAUAUAUUUUAAGCAUAAUUCUUUUACACCUUAAAUUAGUAAAUUUACAGAUUUAGAUUUUAUCUUAAGACUGUAUGCCAUUAAUUUUGAAACUGGCACCCCCUUUUAUGUUAUUGACUUUGAAAUGCUCCUUUUUCUUCAGUAACGCAUAUUUACAUCUAUUAAUGGUUGGAGAUUCCCUGUGAAUUGUUGGUUUGCACUUCAAACAUGCAUGGUUUGCUAUAUUUCGCCCUCUGUUACUAAAAAGGUCAUUGAGGCAUUUUGAUGACAUUAGUACCUCCUGUUUAUACCUAAUAGUAGAAGCUCUACUUCAAGCCUUUCGUCUGUCAG